rnacentral:sRNA from 1 species
AAUUGCCUCUGUUCAUAUGGUUGUUUGUUCCCCAUAUGAAUCGAUUUAUUUAGUUCAUAUGGGGAACAAACAACCAUAUGAACUAAAUAUAUC